UAUGCCUAACCAUAAACUUAGAUGGUAAGUUACUUAUACCAUCCGCCCGGGAACUACGAGCAUUAGCUUAAAACCCAAAGGACUUGGCGGUGCUUAACAACCCCCUAGAGGAGCCUGUUCUAGAACCGAUACCCCUCGUUAAACCUCACCCUUUCUAGCUUAUUCCGCCUGUAUACCGCCGUCGCCAGCUUACCCUGUGAAGGUUUCAUAGUAAGCAUAAUUAGUAAAACCCAAAACGUCAGGUCGAGGUGCAGCACACGAAAGGGAAAGAAAUGGGCUACAUUACCUGUUUACAGGUUAAUACGAAAAGUGUACUGAAAAAUACACUAGAAGGAGGAUUUAGUAGUAAGAGGGGAGCAGAGUGCCCCACUGAAACCGGCCCUUAAGCGCGCA
rnacentral:rRNA from 1 species